UCCAGACUCCUACGGGAGGCAGCAGUGGGGGAUAUUGCACAAUGGGGGGAACCCUGAUGCAGCGACGCCGCGUGGGUGAAGGAGCGUUUCGGCGCGUAAAGCCCUAUCGGCAGGGAAGAAGGAGGACGGUACCUGACUAAGAAGCCCCGGCUAACUACGUGCCAGCAGCCGCGGUAAUACGUAGGGGGCAAGCGUUAUCCGGAUUUACUGGGGGUAAAGGGGGCGCAGACGGCAGCGCAAGCCAGGAGUGAAAGCCCGGGGCGCAACCCCGGGACUGCUCUUGGAACUGCGCGGCUGGAGUGCAGGAGGGGCAGGCGGAAUUCCUGGUGUAGCGGUGAAAUGCGUAGAUAUUAGGAGGAGCACCAGUUGCGAAGGCGGCUCUCUGGACUGUAACUGACACUGAGGCACGCAAGCGUGGGGAGCAAACAGGAUUAGAUACCCCGGUAUC
rnacentral:rRNA from 1 species